rnacentral:lncRNA from 15 species
AUGAAAGACAUUUAUGAGAGCGCCAUGAUCAAAGUGAUGAGUUUCUACUCUGGUGUGAGGGCACGGCAUGUUUAUGGCUGGGUUUCCAUCAUCUGGUUCAUUUCGGCAGUCAGGAUCGCUGUCAGUGAAGAUGUGCCCCUGCAGACCGUUUCCGAGGUGGUGGCACAGUGCGGAGAAAAUGUGACACUGCCAUGUGGGGUCACCAUGCAAAGCCAGUUGGAUAUUAAAUUAUUUUCCUGGGUGCGUGGAAAUAAAUUGUGUACAUACGAGGACAGUCAGCUUGACCCUGAGGUUCUGUGUGAAAGCACGGAAGACACUCCCAACCACAGACUCAGUAUGACUCUACUAAAUGUGAUGCCAGUCGACCAGGGAGAGUACUUCUGCAAACUACGUUCCAAAGUGGGUGUAGGUUUUGCCAAAACUUUAGUUACAGUACAAGACUGCUUUGAAAAUUCUAAGUCCUACAUCCAAAAGACUCAUGCUACGUGCCAGUUCAGGGGAGUUUACCCCAGUGGCACCGUCCACUGGUUCCAGGGAGAUGUUAACUUAACAGACUCUGCCAUCACACAGGAAGAGGAGGACCAGUAUGGACGGUACGAUGUCAUGAGUACAAUAGAUGUCCAGAAAGGAAAAAGCGAGCCCUACAGAUGCUCACUGUGGAUACCUUCUGUCGGGAAGAAUCUGCACGCUCAAGAGCUACCUAUGGUUAAGGCACUGGAGUCAUCAGGAAGCAUGGUGAGAGUGCAAUGGAUCUGUAUAAUGGUGGAAAUCUUUUUCUUUCGCUUUUUACUGUCAAACUUUUCUGGUAGGCUGUGUAAAGAUGGCAAAGCACUAACAACCAGAGCUUUGUACCUGUAA